rnacentral:rRNA from 1 species
GUAGGUGGCAAGCGUUGUCCGGAAUUAUUGGGGCGUAAAGCGCGCGCAGGCGGUUCUUUAAGUCUGAUGUGAAAGCCCACGGGCUCAACCGUGGAGGGUCAUUGGAAACUGGAGAACUUGAGUACAGAAGAGGAAAGCGGAAUUCCACGUGUAGCGGUGAAAUGCGUAGAGAUGUGGAGGAACACCAGUGGCGAAGGCGGCUUUCUGGUCUGUAACUGACGCUGAGGCGCGAAAGCGUGGGGAGCAAACAGGAUUAGAUACCCUGGUAGUCCACGCCGUAAACGAUGAGUGCUAAGUGUUAGGGGGUUUCCGCCCCUUAGUGCUGCAGCUAACGCAUUAAGCACUGCGCCUGGGGAGUACGGCCGCAAAGGCUG